AGGCGUGGGACAAGCUCGCGUGUCUUGGGUAUGACCUAAUUAACAAACAGGCACGCAUGAUGAUGGGAUGAAGGGCGGCCGGCGGCGAGCGAGUGAGUGAGCUGCCUUGACACGGGAGGAGCUGUGGCGAGACUCAAGAGGCUGCAGGGAAGAAAAUGAGACAAGAGGAAGCUGUAAGGAAGAGAGAUGAAUGGACACCGAGGAGAAGAGGCAGAAGAGAAAGAGAGACAAGAGGAAGAAAAGAAAAGCAGAGGAGAAAGAGGAAGAAAAGAAAAGCAGAGGAGAAAGAGGAAGAAAAGAGAAACGAAGGAUGAAAUUAUAAUGAAGGAGGAAGAGAGGAAGGAUGGAAAACUGUAGUGAAGAAGGAAGGGAGGGAGAGAGAAAACCAUCAUUAUUAGGUCCGCUGUUUGUAUGUCAAAAUAUUUUACACACACAUUUUUACACCCACAGUAAAAAAAAAUAAAUAAAAACCCAAAAAUGCAAUAGUGAAGACCCUCAGGACUUUUAAAAACACU